CGCAGCAACACUGGACCGCCUGUCAGUGAACAACAUCGACGACCGGGUUGUUGGAAACUCGUGUACGUACUUCACCACUCCACUCCACUUGUCAUCGUAACAUCCCGUUGAAUGAAGUAUGUUCAGCUGCAGGCAGUGUGGAACAUCAUUUUCUUCGCGGGCGAGUUACUUUCUGAGGAGAAGGCCUCGCAGCUUCAUGCGUGCUUGUGGGACUUUGGUGUUCGCAGCCCAUCUAACGUAACGUACGUCAAGGAGAGCGAGCUGUCAAGUGUGCUGAACCCUAUUCAAUGCAGAAAGCACUGCACCUUUGGAAUAGGGUUGAGGACCCCGUGCAGUUGAGCGUGCCUGGAACCUCUGCAUCUGCACCUCAGUGUGUGAAAGUUGACUCGAGUGCAGCACCAAAGUCUCUCUCCCCGGACUGGUCAUCUGCUUUUGUGAUACCCUUUCAACGAGCAAACGCAGAUUUUCUGCAAGAUUUGCAGGAGAAAAGCGACCAAAGAAGAAACUUGCUUAUUUGAUCUCGCCC